GUAAAUUAAAAUCGUGAUUUACGAUCAGUGAGAUGGAUUGUGUUCAGCUCCGUACCCCCGUGAAGGAUCCCCCUAGUAAGUCUAUAUAAAUUGCUGUCGACCUUGUAUACCGCUAUAUCAUCUAUCUUUAUCCGCUGUUCAACCCAAAACAAAGAUGAGAACCGCUGUGAUCUUUGCUGUUCUCUGUGUGGCGGCGGUGUCCGCCGCACCAGGCUACAAGUACAGCCAUGGGGGGUACGGCCACCACAACUACUAUCCCGCAACACAGUACUACGGCAGUAACCAUGGCUACAGAUACGGCCUCGGCAGUCAGUAUGGAUACAACAACUAUUACCCCGGACAAUCCUACUAUGGACACCGCAAUCCAUACAGAUUUGGCCUUGGGUCUCAAUAUCAACGAGGCGGUUUCCCCUAUACUGGAGGCUACAGACACCAGUAUCAAUACGGGUCUCCAUACGGCGGUUAUGAUUAUGGACUUAGAUCAACUUUCAAAAGAGGAACAUACUAAGUAAACAGGCAUUAAGAUGGAGCGUAAAAUGUGAGGGAUAACAUCUGCAAUGAGGAUGAAUAAAGAUAGAAGAGUUGUGUAUGCGACAGCAAAAAUAAAAUUAUAGUAAUUUCAAA